GCCCCUUAUGAUUUGGGCUACACACGUGCUACAAUGGACAAUACAAAGGGCAGCGAAACCGCGAGGUCAAGCAAAUCCCAUAAAGUUGUUCUCAGUUCGGAUUGUAGUCUGAAACUCGACUACAUGAAGCUGGAAUCGCUAGUAAUCGUAGAUCAGCAUGCUACGGUGAAUACGUUCCCGGGUCUUGUACACACCGCCCGUCACACCACGAGAGUUUGUAACACCCGAAGCCGGUGGAGUAACCUUUUAGGAGCUAGCCGUCGAAGGUGGGACAAAUGAUUGGGGUGAAGUCGUAACAAGGUAGCCGUAUCGGAAGGUGCGGCUGGAUCACCUCCUUU
rnacentral:rRNA from 1 species